rnacentral:rRNA from 1 species
AGAGUUUGAUCCUGGCUCAGGACGAACGCUGGCGGCGUGCCUAAUACAUGCAAGUCGAGCGAGCUUGCCUAGAUGAUUUUGGUGCUUGCACUAAAUGAAACUAGAUACAAGCGAGCGGCGGACGGGUGAGUAACACGUGGGUAACCUGCCCAAGAGACUGGGAUAACACCUGGAAACAGAUGCUAAUACCGGAUAACAACACUAGACGCAUGUCUAGAGUUUGAAAGAUGGUUCUGCUAUCACUCUUGGAUGGACCUGCGGUGCAUUAGCUAGUUGGUAAGGUAACGGCUUACCAAGGCAAUGAUGCAUAGCCGAGUUGAGAGACUGAUCGGCCACAUUGGGACUGAGACACGGCCCAAACUCCUACGGGAGGCAGCAGUAGGGAAUCUUCCACAAUGGACGAAAGUCUGAUGGAGCAACGCCGCGUGAGUGAAGAAGGGUUUCGGCUCGUAAAGCUCUGUUGGUAGUGAAGAAAGAUAGAGGUAGUAACUGGCCUUUAUUUGACGGUAAUUACUUAGAAAGUCACGGCUAACUACGUGCCAGCAGCCGCGGUAAUACGUAGGUGGCAAGCGUUGUCCGGAUUUAUUGGGCGUAAAGCGAGUGCAGGCGGUUCAAUAAGUCUGAUGUGAAAGCCUUCGGCCCAACCGGAGAAUUGCAUCAGAAACUGUUGAACUUGAGUGCAGAAGAGGAGAGUGGAACUCCAUGUGUAGCGGUGGAAUGCGUAGAUAUAUGGAAGAACACCAGUGGCGAAGGCGGCUCUCUGGUCUGCAACUGACGCUGAGGCUCGAAAGCAUGGGUAGCGAACAGGAUUAGAUACCCUGGUAGUCCAUGCCGUAAACGAUGAGUGCUAAGUGUUGGGAGGUUUCCGCCUCUCAGUGCUGCAGCUCACGCAUUAAGCACUCCGCCUGGGGA